GGGAUGGGUUUCUUUCUGGAGAUCCCUCCUUGGUGGAGCUUUCCCCUGUGAACGUGGAAUCUUCUGAUGCAGGUGUGUGAAACUUACAGGCAGUUCUAUCUCGUAAGCUCCUGGAGAUACUGUUGGCUUUGUUGGGCAGCACCAUACAGAAUUUUUUCUAGCAUACUGGAGAGAAUUGCACAUCUGCUCCCUACUCCGUAGAGGCCAAUAUGGGACUUGAUAGCAGAGGAAUCUCUGUGGAAAUUUUUCAGGUAUUGACAGAAGAAGGAAACCAUUUCCAUCUAAAACUCCUAUUAAAAGCAAGAGGCACUAAAUUCUGCACAUGCUUUUCAUGCUGGCAUAUUAAUGUGUUUUCUGGCCAGUGGCAGUUCUUAGUCUCAGUAGAAGCUCAUAAUUGGAGUUUGCUAUGCUUUUUCUUGGGUGCAAUAAAUUUUUUUGU